GAGUUUGAUCUUGGCUCAGGAUGAACGCUGGCGGCGUGCUUAACACAUGCAAGUCGAACGAGGAAUUUUAAAUGAGACUUCGGUGGAUUUUAAAAUUCUUAGUGGCGGACGGGUGAGUAACGCGUGGGCAACCUGCCCUGUACAGGGGGGACGAACAGCUGGAAACGGCUGCUAAUACCGCAUAAGACCACGGAGCCGCAUGGCUCAGUGGGAAAAACGUACCGGUGGUACAGGAUGGGCCCGCGUUGGAUUAGGUAGUUGGUGAGGUAACGGCCCACCAAGCCGACGAUCCAUAGCCGA
rnacentral:rRNA from 1 species